rnacentral:rRNA from 1 species
GACGAACGCUGGCGGCGUGCUUAACACGUGCAAGUCGAACGAUGAAGAAGAGAAACGCGAACUUCGGUUCAAAUUUCACUUCGGAUUAGUGGCAGACGGGUGAGUAACGCGUGAGCAACCUACCUCUUACAAAGGGAUAGCCUCGGGAAACCGUGAUUAAUACCAUAUGACACAUUCAUAAGGCAUCUUAAGAAUGUUAAAGCUACGGCGGUAAGAGAUGGGCUCGCGUCCCAUUAGCUAGUCGGUGAGGUAACGGCCCACCAAGGCGACGAUGGGUAACCGGCGUGAGAGGGUGAACGGUCACAUUGGAACUGGGACACGGUCCAAACUCCUGCGGGAGGCAGCAGUGGGGAAUCAUGCACAAUGGAGGGAACUCUGAUGCAGCGACGCCGCGUGAGCGAUGAAGGAAUUCGUUUCGUAAAGCUCUGUUCUAUGGGAAGAAAAGGACUGUACCAUAGGAGAAAGCCCCGGCUAAAUACGU